CUAAUAAACAAAACGUAUCUGUAAAUUGGAUGAUGAUGCAGUGGUUUAUAGCAAAAUUAGUUGUUUCAUGAGACUAUUUAAUAAAGAAAGGAAUGUAUAACGAUUCUUACAUUUUGUUCUGCUUCAGAACCCUCAUCACACGGGCUUCGACAGCUUCUAGAGAAGUACCAGGUCUUGUUUUUGUAUUUGCAUAUAUCUCAACCUCAAGCUUCUUAAUCUUGUCUUCCACCUCCUCUUUUAUUUAUCGGAGAAACAUUUAUAAAAGUAUUGAGGUUUAGUUGAAUUUUGUUUUGAAUCAAAAUGGUUCAAUCCAAUAACUCUUAAACUUUCCUGAGAGUUUCUCUGUGAAAAAAACAUCUAUGAUUCCAGUCAAUGCAUAUUCA
rnacentral:lncRNA from 1 species